AUUGAACGCUGGCGGCAGGCCUAACACAUGCAAGUCGAGCGGAUGAAGGGAGCUUGCUCCUGGAUUCAGCGGCGGACGGGUGAGUAAUGCCUAGGAAUCUGCCUGGUAGUGGGGGAUAACGUCCGGAAACGGGCGCUAAUACCGCAUACGUCCUGAGGGAGAAAGUGGGGGAUCUUCGGACCUCACGCUAUCAGAUGAGCCUAGGUCGGAUUAGCUAGUUGGUGGGGUAAAGGCCUACCAAGGCGACGAUCCGUAACUGGUCUGAGAGGAUGAUCAGUCAAACGGGAAUGGGAAAACGUUCCAGCGUCUUACGGGGGGCAGCAGAGGGAAAUAUUGGAAAUGGGGCGAAAGGCUGAUCAACCCAUGCGGGUGGUGUGAAGAAGGUCUUCGGAUUGAAAAGCAUUUUAAUUGGGGAGAAAGGGCAGUAAGUUAAUACCUGGCUUUUUGGACGUAACCAACAGAAGAAGCACGGGUGAACUUCGG
rnacentral:rRNA from 1 species